UACGGAGGGGGCUAGCGUUGCUCGGAAUCACUGGGCGUAAAGGGUGCGUAGGCGGGUCUUUAAGUCAGGGGUGAAAUCCUGGAGCUCAACUCCAGAACUGCCUUUGAUACUGAAGAUCUUGAGUUCGGGAGAGGUGAGUGGAACUGCGAGUGUAGAGGUGAAAUUCGUAGAUAUUCGCAAGAACACCAGUGGCGAAGGCGGCUCACUGGCCCGAUACUGACGCUGAGGCACGAAAGCGUGGGGAGCAAACAGG
rnacentral:rRNA from 1 species